CAGUCAUGGUGUUCGGUCUUAGUUUGUGACCAGUUUAGUUUAACCAGGACCAUCAGUGUGACUAUU
rnacentral:pre_miRNA from 1 species